UACGUAGGGUGCAAGCGUUGUCCGGAAUUAUUGGGCGUAAAGAGCUUGUAGGCGGUUUGUCGCGUCUGCUGUGAAAUUUCGGGGCUCAACCCCGAACUUGCAGUGGGUACGGGCAGACUAGAGUGUGGUAGGGGAGACUGGAAUUCUUGGUGUAGCGGUGAAAUGCGUAGAUAUCAAGAGGAACACCUGAGGCGAAGGCGGGUUGCUAGGCUGACACUGACGCUGAGGCGCGAAAGCUAGGGUAGCAAACGGG
rnacentral:rRNA from 1 species